rnacentral:rRNA from 1 species
UACAGAGGUCCCGAGCGUUGUUCGGAUUCACUGGGCGUAAAGGGUGCGUAGGUGGUGAGGUAAGUCGGAUGUGAAAUCUCCAGGCUCAACCUGGAAACUGCAUUGGAAACUACCUUGCUGGAGGAUUUGAGGGGGGAUUGGAAUACUUGGUGUAGCAGUGAAAUGCGUAGAUAUCAAGUGGAACACCAGUGGCGAAGGCGGCUUUCUGGGCCUUACCUGACGCUGAGACGCGAAAGCGUGGGGAGCGAACCGG